ACAGUUGAGCGGUCUGUCGCUGGUAGUUUUACUACGAGAGGAAAGUCCGGGCAACAUAGAGCAUCCUACUUUUUAAGAGAAAGUAAUUCGUGAGAAUUAAGUAGUGUAGAAGAAAAUAACCUCCUGUUUACAGGUAAGGGUGAGAAGGUGAGGUAAGAGCUCACCAGUGGUAUGGCAACAUACCAGCUGUACACCUUAGGAGUUGUAAGAUCAUGUAAACCGACGCUAAAGAGAACUGCUCGUUCCAUGUCGGAGGGUAGAUCGCUAGAAUAAAAUGGUGACAUUUUAUGUAGAUAAAUGACAGACAUUCUACUUCGGUGGAUUACAGAACCCGGCUUAUAGCUCAACUGUUUUU
rnacentral:RNase_P_RNA from 1 species